GUUGGAGGACGGUUUUAUAAACUAAAUUAUACAGAACACCUCUCUUUAACAACAGUUUUAUUUGAUUUAUCACAUAAUAAAAAAAAUAUACGAAAAAUCUAACUUCAUAAUAUAGAACGCCUAGGAAUGGUCACAGUUUUGUAAGAGGAGUCAAACAAAACGCCUCUAUUAGAGAAACGUUCUAGCGCCUCUUUAGUUUAAAAAUGAAUCUAACCGACCUAAACCCAUUUAUUCUCUUUGUGCGCCUCUUCAUUAGCCUUCUAAAUCUCAGCCCUCCAUUUUUUCCCUUUAGAACCCACGAUCUCCAUCUUCUCCCACUAACAAAAUUGAUAAACUCCCAUAAACCCACCUUCACCCAUUUCAAUUAUUUUUUAAAGCUUGAACCAAAAAUAAUUCUCCAUAACUUCUUUUACCUUCUUCUCUUAGUUUUUAAGCUUCAGACUAUCUCCUUCACCACCGUUCUUCACCAAACUCUCUUAUCGCCAGGGUCGAUUUCAGGCCACCUUUGGCUCCGAUUUUGUCAAUGGAAGCGGCGCAUCUUUCGUCUUGCGAUUUCUUCUCUGAUUUUCUAAUAUUCAUCAAUGGAAGCAAGAAUAGCCGACUUAUUUGAUUCGAACUUUUUUUUUUUAAUUUUUUAUCGCAUUCUUCUCCAUUAUACAGAGUAUUGAGAAGUUCAAUUACUGUAUUAAUUUUUUUUAAUUAGAAUUGUAUUAUACGAAAGACUAUAAUACGAGUAUGAGUUAUAAAUUUAGAAUACGUA